rnacentral:tmRNA from 1 species
GGGGAUGUUUUUGGGAUUCGACAGGCGUAGAUUCGCAUUGACUGCGAUUCGUAGGUUACGUCUACGUAAAAACGUUACAGUUAAAUAUAACUGCAAAUAACAAAAAUUCUUACGCAUUAGCUGCUUAAUUUAGCGCAUGCGUUGCUCUUUGUCGGUUUACUCGUGGCUGACACUGAGUAUCAACUUUAGCGAGUUACGUUUAACUAUCUCACCUGAAUAGUUGAAAAGAGUCUUAACAGGUUAGCUAGCUCAUCCUAGCCCUGUUAUAUGGCGUUUUGAGCUAGUGAAGUUCAAGUAAUAUAACUAUGAUCGUAGAGGUCAGUGACGGAAUGCGUCUGGACAGGGGUUCAACUCCCCUCAUCUCCA